rnacentral:rRNA from 1 species
CUCGUUGGUGACCAGCGGAGGGAUCAUUAAAGGGUAUAGCUUUGGCUAUAAACCCCCUAAACCAUUGUGAAUUAUACCUAUAACUCUUAUAAUUGUAAUCUCUGAGUAACUUUAAUAAGUUAAAACUUUCAACAACGGAUCUCUUGGUUCUGGCAUCGAUGAAGAACGCAGCGAAAUGCGAUAAGUAAUGUGAAUUGCAGAAUUCAGUGAAUCAUCGAAUCUUUGAACGCACAUUGCGCCCGUCAGUAUUCUGGCGGGCAUGCCUGUUCGAGCGUCAUUUCAACCAUCAAGCCUCAGGCUUGUGUUGGGGCCCUGCGGCUGCCGCAGUCCCCUAAAAGCAGUGGCGGACUCGCUGUCAUACCGAGCGCAGUAACACAUCUCGCUCAGGGCGUGGCGACGAGCACUGGCCGUUAAACACUCCACUAAGGUUGACCUCGGAUCAGGUAGGAAUACCCGCUGAACUUAAGCAUAUCAAUAAGCGGAGGA